rnacentral:rRNA from 1 species
GUGGGGAAUUUUGGACAAUGGGCGCAAGCCUGAUCCAGCAAUGCCGCGUGCAGGAAGAAGGCCUUCGGGUUGUAAACUGCUUUUGUACGGAACGAAAAGACUUCUUCUAAUACAGGAGGUCCAUGACGGUACCGUAAGAAUAAGCACCGGCUAACUACGUGCCAGCAGCCGCGGUAAUACGUAGGGUGCAAGCGUUAAUCGGAAUUACUGGGCGUAAAGCGUGCGCAGGCGGUUAUAUAAGACAGAUGUGAAAUCCCCGGGCUCAACCUGGGAACUGCAUUUGUGACUGUAUAGCUAGAGUACGGUAGAGGGGGAUGGAAUUCCGCGUGUAGCAGUGAAAUGCGUAGAUAUGCGGAGGAACACCGAUGGCGAAGGCAAUCCCCUGGACCUGUACUGACGCUCAUGCACGAAAGCGUGGGGAGCAAACAGGAUUAGAUACCCUAGUAGUCC